rnacentral:misc_RNA from 1 species
GAUGAAGAACGUAGCGAAAUGCGAUACGUAAUGUGAAUUGCAGAAUUCAGUGAAUCAUCGAAUCUUUGAACGCAUAUUGCGCUCUUUGGUAUUCCGAAGAGCAUGCUUGUUUGAGUAUCAGUAAACACCUCAAAGACUUCAAUUUGUUUUGAAUGGCUUUGGACUUGAGCAAUCCCAACACCAGUCUUUACGAUCGGUGGAGGGUUGCUUGAAAUGCAGGUGCAGCUGGACAUUCGCCUGAGCUAAAAGCAUAUUUAUUUAGUCCCGUCAAACGGAUUAUUACUUUUGCUGCAGCUAACAUAAAGGGAGUUUGACCGUAUUGGCUGACUGAUGCAGGAUUUCACAAGGGUCGGCAACGAUUCUUGUAAAACUCGAUCUCAAAUCAAGUAAGACUACCCGCUGAACUUAAGCAUAUCAAUAAGCGGAGGA